rnacentral:rRNA from 1 species
UACGUAGGUGGCAAGCGUUGUCCGGAUUUAUUGGGUUUAAAGGGUGCGUAGGCGGCCCUGUAAGUCAGUGCUGAAAUAUCCCAGCUUAACUGGGAGGGUGGCAUUGAUACUGCGGGGCUAGAGUACAGAUGAGGUAGGCGGAAUUGACGGUGUAGCGGUGAAAUGCUUAGAUAUGUCACAGAACACCGAUUGCGAAGGCAGCUCACUAAAGUGUAACUGACGCUGAGGCACGAAAGCGUGGGGAUCAAACAGG